rnacentral:rRNA from 1 species
GACGUAGGGUGCAAGCGUUGUCCGGAAUUACUGGGCGUAAAGAGCUCGUAGGCGGUCUGUCGCGUCUGCUGUGAAAACUCAGGGCUUAACCCUGAGCUUGCAGUGGGUACGGGCAGACUAGAGUGCGGUAGGGGAGACUGGAAUUCCUGGUGUAGCGGUGAAAUGCGCAGAUAUCAGGAGGAACACCGGUGGCGAAGGCGGGUCUCUGGGCCGUAACUGACGCUGAGGCGCGAAAGCUAGGGGAGCAAACGGG